UUAUCAAUAAAGUUUACUUUUCAUUCCAAAUAGAAGAUGACACUGGAACAACAAACACAAACAUCUAACAUUACAACACCAAUUACUAAAACAGGUACUAAAACAAGAACAAGUACUAGAACAAUAACAAAUACAACAACAACAACACAAACAACCAUUAAUAUCUAGGAAAUUACAACAGUCAACACUAUGUCGUCUGAUCCAUGCAUCAUUUGGAUGCAAUCAAUGUCGCUUUCAACUUCAA
rnacentral:lncRNA from 1 species